rnacentral:rRNA from 1 species
GUUUGAUCAUGGCUCAGGAUGAACGCUAGCGGCAGGCCUAAUACAUGCAAGUCGAACGGUGUCUUCGGACAUAGUGGCGCACGGGUGCGUAACACGUAUGCAACCUACCUUACAUUGGGGGAUAGCCUUUCGAAAGGGAGAUUAAUACCGCAUAAGACAGUAGCUGGGCAUCCAGCAGCUGUUAAAGAUUUAUCGAUGUAAGAUGGGCAUGCGACCAAUUAGUUAGUUGGCGAGGUAACGGCUCACCAAGACUAUGAUUGGUAGGGGAACUGAGAGGUCAAUCCCCCACACUGGCACUGAGAUACGGGCCAGACUCCUACGGGAGGCAGCAGUAGGGAAUAUUGGGCAAUGGACGCAAGUCUGACCCAGCCAUGCCGCGUGCAGGAUGAAGGCGUUAUGCGUCGUAAAACUGCUUUUAUACAGGAAGAAACGACUCUUGCGAGAGGCAUUGACGGUACUGUAUGAAUAAGCACCGGCUAACUCCGUGCCAGCAGCCGCGGUAAUACGGAGGGUGCAAGCGUUGUCCGGAUUUAUUGGGUUUAAAGGGUGCGCAGGUGGUUUAUUAAGUCAGUGGUGAAAGACGGUCGCUCAACGAUUGCAGUGCCAUUGAAACUAGUAGACUUGAGUAAAGUAGAGGUGGGCGGAAUUGAUAGUGUAGCGGUGAAAUGCAUAGAUAUUAUCAAGAACUCCAAUUGCGUAGGCAGCUCACUUGGCUUUUACUGACACUCAUGCACGAAAGUGUGGGUAUCAAACAGGAUUAGAUACCCUGGUAGUCCACACUGUAAACGAUGAUACUAAGUGUCGGCCGAAUCUGGUCGGUGCCACAGCGAAAGCGUUAAGUAUCCACCUGGGGAGUACGCC